rnacentral:rRNA from 1 species
UACAGAGGUGGCAAGCGUUGUUCGGAAUUACUGGGCGUAAAGGGCGAGUAGGCGGCCUUCUAAGUCAGACGUGAAAUCCCCCGGCUUAACCUGGGAACUGCGUCUGAUACUGGGAGGCUUGAGUAUGGGAGAGGGAUGUAGAAUUCCAGGUGUAGCGGUGAAAUGCGUAGAUAUCUGGAGGAAUACCGGUGGCGAAGGCGGCAUCCUGGACCAUUACUGACGCUGAACAGCGAAAGCUAGGGGAGCAAACGGG